rnacentral:rRNA from 1 species
AGAGUUUGAUCCUGGCUCAGGACGAACGCUGGCGGCGUGCCUAACACAUGCAAGUCGAGCGGAGAUGUCGGAAGAGCUUGCUCAGAAGACAUUUUAGCGGCGGACGGGUGAGUAACGCGUGAGCAACCUGCCCUCCACAGGGGGAUAACGCAUCGAAAGAUGCGCUAAUACCGCAUGAGACCACAGAGCGACAUCGCUCAGGGGUCAAAGGAGCAAUCCGGUGGAAGAUGGGCUCGCGUCUGAUUAGCUGGUUGGUGAGGUAACGGCCCACCAAGGCGACGAUCAGUAGCCGACCUGAGAGGGUGAUCGGCCACAUUGGAACUGAGAGACGGUCCAAACUCCUACGGGAGGCAGCAGUGGGGAAUAUUGGGCAAUGGGCGAAAGCCUGACCCAGCAACGCCGCGUGAGGGAAGAAGGCCUUCGGGUCGUAAACCUCUGUCCUAUGGGACGAAGGAAGUGACGGUACCAUAGGAGGAAGCCCCGGCUAACUACGUGCCAGCAGCCGCGGUAAUACGUAGGGGGCGAGCGUUGUCCGGAAUGAUUGGGCGUAAAGGGCGCGUAGGCGGCCUGGUAAGUCUGAAGUGAAAGUCCCGCUUUCAAGGUGGGAAUUGCUUUGGAUACUGCUGGGCUGGAGUGCAGGAGAGGAAAGCGGAAUUCCCGGUGUAGCGGUGAAAUGCGUAGAGAUCGGGAGGAACACCAGUGGCGAAGGCGGCUUUCUGGACUGUAACUGACGCUGAGGCGCGAAAGCGUGGGGAGCAAACAGGAUUAGAUACCCUGGUAGUCCACGCCGUAAACG